UUCUGGGGGUCACCCCCAGCCAGCAGCACGCCACCGGUCCCAGGGAAAACAAACUUUCCACUGCGCCUAUGGAGCUACGUGAGCCAUAACUCAUCACCUCCUAACCCGGGGAGCAGGGACUGACAACAGCCAUCAGGCUUGAGAUGUAACAUCUGAGCCUGCGUGCCCUCCAUUUAUCAUCUGGGAUGCCCCGAAUAUAUACAGGGUAAGUUUCCAUGGGUUCAUAAAAGCUGUGAUUUAAUAACAGCCACCAAAAGGCAAUACAUGAGAUGUUAGCUCUGAGAGGUUUUUUGGGGAACAACUUAUGAUGUGGACGUAGAUUACACAGGUGCUGUUCUUCUGUUAUCGCUGAAGUUUAAUUUUUGUCACUAACACGUUUUGCUAGCAGAGCUUAAAGGUCACAUCCCUGAGGAUACGGCACCGUUUGCGUGAGCAGAGCUUGGCGUUCUCUUCGGAUAAUGGCCAUUGUGGGCUGGUAUUGCUAGAGGACAAGUGAAAGUGAGAUUGCAAGGAUGGGGGGGACCGGGGGGUGUUUUGUGGCCUUACAUCCAUCUUCAUCACAGGAGGGCCACUGAGGAAUUGCCGCGUUAACAAGUAACACAGCUCUGAGCCUACAGUCCCACCCACUGCAGCAGGGAGAGCUUCUCAAGAAAUAACAAACCCAACCCACACCUCGGCGCAGAACGUUCAGACGAUGAGGCUCACUGCCCUGUGUGAUGCGUGGAGCCAAACGCUUCCUGUUGCCCAACCUGCAAUUGAUGGCUUGGCAAAUAUUUUCAUUGGACUUGAUAAUCCUUACAUUUUCAGCCUGAUUCUGCUCAACUCGGUGGCAGUGGCAGAGGUCAGGGCUCGCAGUGAGUUCUUAGCAAAGCCAGCAAGGAGAAGCGGGAGUCAUGAAGUAAGAGCAAGCGGGCUUUUAUCUAGGGUGUAUCUUUGGGGAGUCAAUGUGAAAAAGGAUGCUUUAAAUAAAGUGCCUGGCUUUUUAUAAUGCAGCUGUCCCAUUAAAUGCAAAUGGGCUUUAACUCCGUGUGAUGCUCCUGGAAGAAGGCGGCCAACAGAGAUAUGCUUCAGCAUUUUGUUCAUGUGCAUUUUCUUAUGCCUCAAAUUGCAAGACUGCAACAUAAAAAACAGAAGUGAAAACCUGCCCCUGCAAGGAAGCAAAAUGUCAUCAGUAUAAUAGCUGCUAUCUCUGUGGUUUGCUAAUUGCGCCUUUCUGCCUUGCUGGUUUCCUGAGAUGGGUGGUGGAAAUACAGAAGAAGAAAAAUAACCACCAACUUCUGAACUUGAUCAAAGCUAAAGAAGUGAUUUCACAUGCUUCAAUCCAGUGAAUUUUCAGCACGAGUGCCCUUGGAAACAGAGAAGGUUUGGGUGGGGGAAGGAACAAAGAGGGGCUCCAACACACAUUUCUGUCAAGUGGAAACCACAGAGGGAAGAAUAACAGAGCUGCAGUGCGCAGCGUGAAGAUUUCUGCACAGCUUCAAGCUCGUCCUCCCUCCGGUUGUGCACAUCUGUGCAACGUCUCUGCGGACUGAGAUUGUACCAUUUUCAGCAGACAAGGACUGGGUUGCUCUGGCUGGCACCACGCUGAUGUCUAAUUUAGACAAAAUUUUCCUUGAUUUAAAAGAGCCUGACAUGCACUCGUAGAUUACUCCCAAGCAGCUGUAAAACCAGACACUUGUCAGGAAUUCUGAGUGCUGCACAGUCACAGAAAGCAGAGCGCACCGCGGCCGCCUGGCAGAGGUUUGACUCCAUGAGUUAUAGCUUACCUAGAAGCAGGGGGAAGAAUGGGAACGUUGUUCCAAAUUCACUGGGUGCUAGCAGCGUUGGCUCACGUUGGUAAGACAGCAUCUGUCAGCUAAGCCUGGUUAAUUACAAGUUCCUCAGAAACCCUAUCCCUAAUUGCCCAAAGAAAGCCACAGACUGAAUUAGGGCAGUGUUCGUGCAAGUCUCUGCUGGGCAGCACAGCCCCUGGUGCGAGUUGUAUGCGCAGGGAGUGGAAGGGUUUGAAUGCUCAGCGUUUGCUUCUGGACCAGAAUACGUGUUUUGUGCUGGUGGCAUUUUCCUCUUCACCCAGAGGAGGACUCACAAAUAUUAGCACCAGAUGUAAACAGAGAUCAAACUCUUUGACUGUUACUGAAGACUUAAAUGUCAUCUUUUGCACUGACUCAAUAAACCAUCCUGAAGUGCUUGUGUCCUCCCAGUCCCUUGUUUAUUUCUUCUUAAUUUUUAUAUACUUAUACUCCUGUAUUCCUCUCUUCAGUGUUUCAGUUUCCAUUGUCUCCAUCUUUUUUCCAUAAUACAACAUACCCAACAUGAAAUCAGCAUUUUAGCUCCUGUUUCAAAGAUGCUAAGAAGGGCGGUAGGACUCACGCCUCUGAAAGCCUUUCUGUCAAACUGUAGAUUCAGGUUUGUGCUCAGGCCAUCCUACAGCCUUCUGGCCCGGCUCUAUGGCAGGACACUUCCCCAUGACCUAGGACAAGAGCACACACACAUAAGAGAACAAUGUUCCUCCUGGGAAGACCCCACAUUGGCCCCACGUUUGCUAUCCCUGUGACAGACAGGUCCAAUCCCAAAUUGCUCACAAUUGCAGAUGGUUCAGACCCAGCCCACAUAAAUGCAUGUCUAGACAAAUGUGCUUUUAAAAUUGAGUUAGCCACUCCGAGCUGGGGCACAAAUUAAUCCUG
ensembl:lncRNA